rnacentral:rRNA from 1 species
GACGAACGCUGGCGGCGUGCCUAAUACAUGCAAGUAGAACGCUGAAGAGAGGAGCUUGCUCUUCUUGRAUGAGUUGCGAACGGGWGAGUAACGCGUWGGUAACCUGCCUUGUAGCGGGGGAUAACUAUUGGAAACGAUAGCUAAUACCGCAUAACAAUGGRUGACACAUGUCAUUUAUUUGAAAGGGGCAAUUGCUCCACUACAAGAUGGACCUGCGUUGUAUUAGCUAGUAGGUGAGGUAACGGCUCACCUAGGCGACGAUACAUAGCCGACCUGAGAGGGUGAUCGGCCACACUGGGACUGAGWCACGGCCCAGACUCCUACGGGAGGCAGCAGUAGGGAAUCUUCGGCAAUGGGGGCAACCCUGACCGAGCAACGCCGCGUGAGURAAGAAGGUUUUCGGAUCGUAAAGCUCUGUUGUAAGUCUAGAACGAGUGUGAGAGUGGAAAGUUCACACUGUGACGGUAGCUUACCAGAAAGGGACGGCUAACUACGUGC